AGCCACGUGGGGGAGGAUGAGAAGAGGCUAAAUAUAGCCAUGGAAAAAACAACCAGCAGACUAGAAAGCACCUUCAGGCUUAACAUCAACAGAGGCUGUCAUUUCCCAGGAUUCCUCAGCCAUGCUCCGGUGAUACCUGUUUGAAAUCGGACUUCAGGCCAGCUGGUUCCUUCUCGUGUGGCUAAGACGAUGCAGCCACCUCACCCUGUUUAUGGAACGAGUUGCUGAUCCCAGCCCUGCCACUCCGUUCUCGUUGGCACGGCUGCUGCUAGUGAAGAUGGAGAGAGCCCCCCCAAGGAAUGUCAUUUUCAAAAUGGUGCAGAACUGCUUCCCGCAAGGCCUGACAUCCUCCUCAUUGUGGUUUCUAAACUAGAGCCUUAUAUCAUGAUUAGCAAACAACCCUGGUCUGGGGGUCAGUGAAUCUUCGUGGGGAUCUGCAGAAGGUGCAGCUGUUGGAAACUCCCCGGCUGCUUCACAGUCGUGAGGUGAGCUGACAGGCUGAUCUCCGUCUUCUCUGUAGCACAUGCUGUUCCAUCCUUAUAAUUAUUACCAAUUUAGAGGAUUGAUGGAAAGAACAGAAGGGGAAAGGAAUAGUCCCAAGGAGUGUAAAAGGAGUAUAAAAAUAUCAUUUGUGUAUUAUUGUUGGAAACUUGUCACCGCAUCUAUGAAGCUGAGGAGUGUAACCGGCGUUGGAACAGGCCAUGAUGGAAGAACGGAUUUACCUUUCUCUAAAACUGAGCAAAACAUGUGAGGUGACUACUUUUAGGCACUGGAAAAUAGUGCAGGACUCCAGUCUCAGCAAGACAGGAAAUAAAUGAGGUGAGCACCACAUCCAACCUGAUUUUAUGUCUGGGGGCGCUUUGCUGAACUGGCGCUAAGUGAAGAGCCCAGGUGAAGAACAUCAAGUCGUACUGAGCCGAGGAGACAGAAAUGGCAGUAGAGGGCAUGAAGAGGCAGUUGGGAUUCACAGGAUCGAAUUCCAGAGGCAAAUGAGCUCUGCAGAAGGGAAAUGUCAGAAGUCUGUGUGGAGAUUCUUCUUACCUCUGGCUAAGAGCUGCUCUGGGCCUUGCCUGUACAGGGUAAGAUUCUGUAAGACCUCUUGAUUCUGCAAGACCACAGCUGCUGUGGCACUAAGAAAUGAAUGGAAAUGCCAAAAGUCACGUAGUGCUAAAAUAUAUUGGAGUUUUGACCCAACGAUGGCGGAAAGACGUCAUUGAGCACACGGGGCAUUCGACUGAGACCCCAGGAAUGCCACUCUUUUGGAAUAAGGAAUAGGAGCAUAUCCUAGAAUUGAGGUCAAAAUCAAUAUAGAUUUGCCCAAAGAAAGCCUAAAAUGAAGCCUGAAGGAUUAAAAGAAUGAACCUGUUAUGUAGUUGCUGGCCAGAACCAAACAUUACACCUUAAAAAAAAAGUUUUUUUUUUUUAAAUUUUUGAGAGAGAGAGAGUACACAGAGGAGAGGAGCAUUCCUGGAAUCCCAAGCAGGCUCUGCAUUGUCAGCACCAAGGCCCACACAGGGCUCAAACUGAGGAACCAGGAUAUCAUGACCUGAGCCAAAGUCAACAGUCGGGCCUUUAACCUCCUGAGCCACCCAGGCGCCCCCAAACAUAACACCUUUAAAUGAGAGACAAGAUAAUCCAGAUGCUGUACAAUAUAUCAUUUGUAACGUGCAGCAUGCAAUAAAAAUUAAUGCAUAUGCAAAGAAGCAGGAAAAUGGAAUUCGUAAUCAAGAUUAAAAAACAGACAACCACAAGAGAUCCUGAAAACGGCUCGGAUUUUGGAGCUAGAACACAGUUUAAAAAUGGUGAUUGUAAGCAUGUUCAAGGAUUUAAAGACAAAAAAUGGACAUAAUGAACAGGCUGGGAAAUCUCAGAAAUACAAGCUGUACAAAACUAUCAAUUAAAAAUACUAGAAAUAACAAUUUCCCUCAGUGUCUUAAGAGGAGAUUGGAUACUGCAGAAUAAAAAGUACGAGAACCUGAAAAUAGAUCAAUUAGAAAAUAUCAAAACUGAACAACAGAAUAAAUUUUAUUUUCUAUUUUCUAAAAUGAACAGAGCCUCUGUAUCUUGUAGAAUGAUCUCACUUGUCUUAUAUGUAAUUGAAGUCUCUGAAGACAAGGAAAAAAAAGAAUGGGUCAGAACUAUUUGAAGAAAUGAUAACCUUAAAUAUUCAAACUUGGAAAAAAAAUCAAUCUACAGAUGUAAGAAAGUCACAAAACCAAAAGCAAUAUAUCUCUCAAAAUAAUCUUUAAGAUUAGAGGUUAAAAAAUAUCUGGAAAGGACUAUACCUUAAUAUAAUUUUACUUAAUACAAUUUAGCUCCUGUAGUCAUGGAGCUAAAAGAAAUGGCGAAGAAAGUUCAUUGGGCUGAAGAUAAAAUUUAGGAUGUUACUAAGGAAUGAACAUAAUUGGGAAUGGUAAAUAUGUGGUAAAUAAGAAUUUUAUUUUCCUACCUUUAAGUUUCCUUAACAUACUCGAUUGGUUCAAGCAAAAGUAAGAACAAUGCAUUGUGAUAUUUUUAGCAUAUGUAAUGAUAACACAUGUCCAUAGCAUUAAGAAUUGCAGGGGGUUAAGUGGAAUUCUACCCUUAAAAGAUUCGGAUAUUCUACAUGAAAUGUUAUAAUAUUAAUUACAAGUAGACUCAAGCUCAGGAUAUAUACUCAAAUUCCUAGAGCAAUCACUAAUACACACACACACACACACACACACACACCAAAAAGCAAAUAAAAUGGAGUACUAAAAAAUAUUUUAUUGGAUCAAGAAGGCCAGAAAGAACAAAGAAACACACAUGAUAUGGGACAAAUAAAAAGCAAAUUGCAAGAUGAUAGAAUUCAACACAACCAUAUUAAUACUUUUAUUGACUGAGAAUGCACUAAAUAUUCCAGUUAAUAAUAAAUUUCAUAAUAAAAAAAGGUCAGUUCAUUAAGAAGACACAACAGUUUGAAAUGUGUAUCCAUCUAAUUACUGUGUUUGACAUAACUCCUGGCACAUAUAACUAUUUUUAAUGCAAGGAUGACUCAACACAAGGAAAUCCAUUAAUGUAAUUCACUAUAUAAAUAGAUCAAAGGAGGUAAAACUCAUGACAUUUCAAUAUGGGAGAAAAUGCAUUUGCUAAAAUUCAAUCAUCACUCUUGAUUAAAAACAAGUAAACAAUAACUCUCAGCAAGCUUGCAAUAGAAGGAAACUUUCUUAAGCUGAUAAACCUUAGCAUAAACCAAGAGCAAAUAUUUGAUGUAAAACAUUACAAUCGUUCCUACUAAUGUUCCUAAGAUAAAUUUGCUCCCAGCAUUGUUGCUAUUUAAUCUUGUAAUGGAGAGUCUAACUAAUGCAGUAAGACAGAAAAAAGUAAUAUAUAUACAUAUAUACAUACGUAUGUGUGUGUAUAUAUAUAUAUGUGUGUAUAUACUAUGAAGGAAAGACACAGAUAAAAUUAUUUGCAAACAAGAGAUUGUCUUAGAAAUCCAAGAAAAAAAUUUACUAGAAUCAGUACAAUAUUGAAUAUGAGGUUUAGGUAAAUCAAAAGCAAAAUCAGUGGUUUCUUAUAUAUUAUCAACAAUACAUUAAAAAAAUGAAACAGAGAAAAAGGAACUUACUCUCACCAAAAGAAAAACU